GGCCAGACUCCUACGGGAGGCAGCAGUGGGGGAUAUUGCACAAUGGGGGGAACCCUGAUGCAGCGACGCCGCGUGGGUGAAGGAGCGUUUCGGCGCGUAAAGCCCUAUCGGCAGGGAAGAAGGAGGACGGUACCUGACUAAGAAGCCCCGGCUAACUACGUGCCAGCAGCCGCGGUAAUACGUAGGGGGCAAGCGUUAUCCGGAUUUACUGGGUGUAAAGGGGGCGCAGACGGCAGCGCAAGCCAGGAGUGAAAGCCCGGGGCCCAACCCCGGGACUGCUCUUGGAACUGCGCGGCUGGAGUGCAGGAGGGGCAGGCGGAAUUCCUGGUGUAGCGGUGAAAUGCGUAGAUAUUAGGAGGAACACCAGUGGCGAAGGCGGCUUGCUGGACUGUAACUGACGUUGAGGCUCGAAAGCGUGGGGAGCAAACAGGAUUAGAUACCCGUGUAAC
rnacentral:rRNA from 1 species